CGCCUCUUGCCCCCAUAAGAGGUCUAGCCUGCCCAGUGACUUCUGUUCAACGGCCGCGGUAUCCUAACCGUGCAAAGGUAGCGUAAUCACUUGUCUUCUAAAUAGAGACCAGUAUGAAAGGCAUCACGAGGACUAAACUGUCUCCUCUUUCUAAUCAGUGAACCUAAUAACCCCGUGAAGAAGCGGGGAUUUUUAUAUAAGACGAGAAGACCCUAUGGAGCUUAAAACAUCAUACACCUGCUACUAUAUUUUAUUUACUCAAGUUUCUACCACAAUAGCACACGAAUAUAUGUUUUUGGUUGGGGCGACCGUGGAGAACAAUAUAUCCUCCAUAAUGAAAGGGGGCCUCCCCUAAACAAUAAGCCACAACUUUAUGUAUCAGUAAACUGACAUCCAUUGACCCAAUAUAUUGACUAACGAACCAAGUUACCCUAGGGAUAACAGCGCAAUCCACUUUGAGAGCUCCUAUCGACAAGUGGGCUUACGACCUCGAUGUUGGAUCGGGGUAUCCUAGUGGUGCAGCCGCUACUAAAGGUUCGUUUGUUCAACGAUUAAAACCCU
rnacentral:rRNA from 1 species